UGGGGAAUUUUGCGCAAUGGACGAAAGUCUGACGCAGCAACGCCGCGUGGGUGAUGAAGGUCUUCGGAUUGUAAAACCCUGUCGCCAGGGACGAAGGGUGAGGUGUGAAUAGCGCCUUACCUUGACGGUACCUGGAAAGGAAGCCCCGGCUAACUCUGUGCCAGCAGCCGCGGUAAUACAGAGGGGGCAAGCGUUAUUCGGAAUUAUUGGGCGUAAAGGGCGCGUAGGCGGUUUUUAAGUCGGAUGUGUAAUCCCUGGGCUCAACCCAGGAACUGCAUCCGAGACUGGAAGGCUAGAGUGCUGGAGAGGGUGGUGGAAUUCCCCGUGUAGCGGUGAAAUGCGUAGAGAUGAGGAGGAACACCAGUGGCGAAGGCGGCCACCUGGACAGUAACUGACGCUGAGGCGCGAAAGCGUGGGUAGCAAACA
rnacentral:rRNA from 1 species